UACGGGGGGAGCAAGCGUUGUUCGGCUUUACUGGGCGUAAAGGGCGCGUCGGCGGCGCAACAAGUCACUUGUGAAAUCUCCGGGCUUAACUCGGAGCGGCCAAGUGAUACUGUCGUGCUAGAGUGCGGAAGGGGCAACUGGAAUUCUCGGUGUAGCGGUGAAAUGCGUAGAUAUCGAGAGGAACACCUGCGGCGAAGGCGGGUUGCUGGGCCGACACUGACGCUGAGGCGCGAAAGCCAGGAGAGCGAACGG
rnacentral:rRNA from 1 species